GACUCUUGACAACGGAUAUUUCAGCUCUCGCAUCGAUGAAGAAAGUAGUGAAAUGCGAUACUUGGUGUGAAUUGCAGAAUUCCGUGAACCAUCGAGUUUUUGAAUGCAAGUUGGGUCCGAAACCAUCCGACCGAGGGCACGUUUUUCUAGGGGUU
rnacentral:rRNA from 1 species